CUCGUGUGACGCAGCGGUCCGUGCGCCCCCUGGUGGUCAGUGUGAAGAUCAGCAACUGCAAAAAUGUGUCCAACGGGAUUAAAAUACAACCGGAAAUAAAUGGAGUCAAACAGAACCAAGUUCAUAUGAUGACAUGGAGCUGUGAGUGACGGCAGCCGUGCGUCAGAGACCACGUGGCCUCGUCCUGGUUGGUCCUCAGCUGCAUCAGACGCCACUUCUCCUCAGGUUCACCAGAGGAAACAGCGCUGCACAAAAUGCUUUUCCUCCCAGCUGCUGCUCUGUGCUGCCUGUGUUCAGCACUGGUUGCCAUGGCAGCACAGCUGCGUCAGGAGGACUUAACGUUGACCAGGAGGCUGGGAGGAAGCGUCUCCUUCAGCUGUCGAGACACUGACCAGUGUGAUAGAGACUGGGUCUUCUGGUACCAGAAGAAACAAGCAGGAACGUUCAGAGUGAUUCUCUACAUUGAUAAGAAUAAUGGAAACAUAUAUAAAGGUUACAAUCAUCCUCAGAAAGAUGAUUUCUCAGCUGCAAACAUACAAAACGGCUGUGAGUUACAGAUCAAACAGGUUAAAGUGGAUCACGCUGCCUCCUACUACUGCUCCUGUUUGGUUGUUUCCCACAGUGAGACAUGAUUCAUGAAGCCUGAACAAAAAGCAGCAGCUGAACAGACGUCAGACAGGAGGAGACAGUGAAACCUCAGCACAGCUUCACACAGAUCUACUUCUACACUUCCAACUCUUCUCAACAUCCUUCUCCAUCUACCUCUAUAUUGGCAUCUUCUACACAUGUUCUCAUGUCGUCCUAUUUCCUGGCAGCUCCAUCUCCAACAUCCUUCUACCAGUAUGUUCACUCUCCCUCCUCUGCACACGUCCAAACCGUGAACCGUCCUCUGAUGAGCUGGUUCCUGGCUCUGUCCAACCUCGUCACUAAGGAGAAGCUCAGCAUCUUCAUCUCUGCUGCUCCACCUCUUCCUCACCGCUACCGUCUCUAACCCACAGAGCACAGCUCUCACCUCUGUCUUUACACCUGUCCUUUGAGUCUCACUGACACUCUGAAACACAACACUCCUGACACUUUCCUCCACCCGCUCCAACCCGCCUGCACUCACCUCCACCUUGAACUCCUCUGUCUGACCUACAGCUCAUCUCACCACCGUCACACUCCUCUCAUACACGUCCUGGACCACUCUGACUUCUCUGUCACCCCCACAGCCUCAUCCAGAACCACAGCUCCACCCUGUCCUCACCUUCUCUACAUCCACAGACACAAUGCAGCUCCUUCUGAUCAUCUCUGUACUUUUCCACCAACAUUCUCAGAGCAGACAUGACAUCAGUGGAGCUCUUAUGAGGCAGGAAACCACACUGCUGCUCACAAACCUCCACCUUCUUCCUGAGCCUGGCUUCCACUGCUCUUUUCCAUGGCUUCAUUGUGUGACUCAUCAGCUUUAUUCCUCUGUAGCUGCUGUAGUUCUGAGUGUCGCCCUUUUCUUAAAGAUCGGCACCAGAACGCUUCUCCUUCUCCUCAGGCAUCUUCUCGCUCUCUAGGAUCCUGUUGAACUAGUUAGAAACUCCACUGCUGUCUCUUCUAGACACUUCUACACCACAGGUGGCACCGACACAGACGUCACUGUCUUAAAACCCCUGUGGCUAGAUUGACCUGAAAUAAUGUGACCAACGGGAUGAAAAUACAACAACCCAACAUAAAUGGAGUUAAACAGUCAUUUUCAGACAGAGGCUGAGUGAACGAGGUGUGGACUCUGUGGAGCAGAGUCAUGGUCCCAGAGACGCUGUAGAAGCACAGACCCCCUGCUGUGCGGUCCAGGUAGACUCCUACUGUGGAGGACACGGGAGCGGAGAGGACGUCUGACGUUGUUGUACCAAUGUGGGAUGACAGUGGACUUCAGGAAGAACUGCCUUGUACCUUCUCAGCUCAGGGAGCUCAACCUGCCCCAGGAGCUGCUCUACUUCUAUACUGCCAUCAUCCAGUCUGUCCUCCACCUCCAUCACUGUGUGGGUUGGUUCAGCCACCAGGCAGGACAGACACAGACUGCAGCGGGUGGUCCGGUCAGCAGAGAAGAUCAUUGGGACUGAGCUUCCUUCUAUUGAACACCUGUACCGGACCAGACUCAGAGAACGGGCAGUCAGCAUCACACCCCAUACAUAAAGAGUUUGAACUAAUUUCCUCUGGCAGGCGUCACAGAGCCAUAGACACCAGAACCAGCAAAACCAGCAGAACCAGCAGACACAGAGUCAGCUUCUUUUCCUAGGCUGUGUCUGAGCUGAACUCCAUCACAUAGAGAGGACUCAGUAAAAAAUGUGAUGCAAUUUUAACUUAUUCUAUUCUAUUCUUUAUUUCCUUUAUGCAAAAAAUGUAAUAAUGUAUAUGUGUAUAUAACUGUGUGAAAUUGAUAUGUAAAUAAUUUCUGUUCAGUAUGAGCGUAUGAAAAGACAGACGGGAUGCAAUUCCUUGUUUGUCUUGUGCAAAUCUGGCGAAUAAAAACAAUUCUGAGAUAAUAGUAAAUAAUAAUAAUAAUAAUAAUAAUAAUAAUAAUAAUAAUAAUAAUAAUAAUAAUAAUAAUAAUAAUAAUAAUAAUAAUAAUAAUAAUAAUAAUAAUAAUGCGAUGGACUGGCGACCUGUCCAGGGUGUACCCUGCCUCUCGCCCAUAGCCAGCUGGGAUAGGCUCCAGCACCCCGUGACCCCGCACUAGGGAGUGAGCGGACAAGAAAAUGGAUGGAUGGAUGGAUGGAUAAUAAUAAGCGGGGGAGCUAGUUGUUAUGGGAAAAAUUGUCUCUUCCUUAUUUCUAUGUGUCUUCCGUUCUUCUAUGCAGUUAUUAUAUGAUUUAUGACUUAUGUUCUGCAAUUAAUAUCUUAUGUUUUGUCUUACUGUAUGCAUUUGACAUUUCACCUACAUUGUUCAAUGGUUGUCUCUGCCUGAUAGACUCUCAACUCUAGCUCUAAACCCAAGGUCGGGGAGUUGUGUCUCUGUCUGUUGAGACUUGGUGCUCCUUUCUCACAGAUAGUUGGACGUCAGCGAUGCAGGUGUGAGAAAGUAAAAAUCUUCACACACACUGCGACAGGGAGGAGAUGGUGCAUGUAAUUUGAUUGGGUUGGAAAGACAUUCCACCCUAGUCGGACAGAGAAGCUAAAAGGCAGAAGCAACUUGAGGAUCGUGGGCUCUUUGCAUCACACCUUCGUGGUGUGUGCACUGAUCUCCCCAGCUGGUUUUUGGUUUGUUGAUGUGCACGAUCAACAUCCAUGCUUUUUAUUUGCUUUCCCCAUUAUUUUUAUUUUCUUUAUUAUUUCAAUAAAUCGCACAAAAGGACAACUCUCUCUCAUCUACUUCUUUAUGGAAAAUUUCCACCACAGAAAUUGGCGUCUACGAACAGGAUCCCGCUGCAGGUCGUCUGGACGGUGUGACCAGGGACGAUAGUCCUGAGGACUAGGGUCGCUCAGCCUCCAAACCUCUACAGACAUUCAGAGCUGGGAGGACUGCUCACCCGUCUGGAUCGCCUCUGACGAGAUCCACGAACUCAGAUUCAAACUCAAAUCCUAAUUUGGCUCGGCUCGAACUGAGCGCGAUGAGGGUAAAUCCGGAUCUGGACUCCUUUCCCACCAUCAGCAGAAGAACCGAAGGAGAAGAAGCGCCGACCAACAACCAGAACAGGGUGGAAGCUCUGACACCACAGCAGCUGGAGGACACAGACCACAGCAUGGACGCCUCACAGACUCCCACAACGUCUGCAGCCAUCACGUUCUGGGCUCAUCAGAUGAACCAGCUACUACAAGCGUGUGUGUCUGACACAGACACCUGCUUAUGACAAUCAGCAAAGGAAAACAAGGACAGAGCAACAGCAGAGAAGACGUGCUCUGACACAGACACUGGUUGAAACAACAGGAGAGGCUUCAGACGUGAUCGGCCCAAUAGAGCUGCAUCUGAGGAUCCAGGAAAGGUCUGUCAUCGAGGAACAACUGUCCCAUUGAAAGGCUUCACCCACUGGCGCUCACAUCAGACUGAUGGUUGGGGAAGGAGGAAGGUGAUGGUUCCUUUUCACGUGACGUACAAGACGGUACCGCAAACAUACACACACAUUCAUACACGCAAUGAAGAAACACGCUUACAGCUGAUACACGCUCAAAUUCAUGUUCAUGCUUAUCUGCUCGCAAUGAAGAAUUGCUUUUUGCUCAAAAAGAAUCCCACAGAGUGAUUUUAAAAUGAUGACAAACAGCUAAAUGAAAACUGCUGCAUGACUUUACAGUCUGAUGGGUUUAAACUAUUUCAAUUUGCAACAAUUUCAGUAAUAAAAUCCUCCAUGUUUCUAAAACGAUUUGUGCACAAUAUAGGUUUGUCUGGCCAGACUGUAGGAAAACAAAACAAAACCAGACUGUAGAAAAACAAAACAGACUAUAGGAAGACUGAAACUGACUGAAACAGACUAUCAAUGACUAUUAAAGGGAAGAUGACUAUUAGAGAGAAAUAAUAAUAAUUACUGUACGUACCAGAUUAUUAAAGAAAAACUUAUUCUUUCACUGUCAUGUGCAACAUCUGACAGCAAGACACCUUAACAUUCAUUGUUGCUUUCAAACUUAUGCCCAGUUAAAUUCUUAAGAAGAGAUCUCAUGUGUAGUUUAGGUAUUUGAUUGAUUUCCACUCCAGACUACUCCACUCCAGGUUACAUCUACAGACAUUCUAAAUAAUCCCUCUUUUGUUGGUGUUAACUUCAGCUCAGCUGUGCUCUUAUCAUUGGCUGCUGAGGGGGGGCUGUAACUGAGGCCCUCACACAGGCUGCAUCACAGCUUGUUUAUGAUUUCACACACACACACUGACAAACUAACCUCAACUUCCCUCUUUUGGGAAGAACACAGGUCUGCGCUUGUGAUUUCUUUUACUAACGAACAAAAAGAUUUUGAUGUUUAUUCUACAGCUCCACACGUCCCUCUGUGAAAACAUGAUGGAGACAGAUGACAGGACGUGGGUCCUUUCGUGAACAGAUGUCAACGGGGUGGAGACUGGUGAACGACUUCUGACCCCAUGUGACGUAUUCACCUACUUUACAUACUUUUAGAAAACCUUUCUUUUUUAUUCUGCCCGUCAUGUGCAGCAAACAGUGAACUGGGUACCUCCACAUUCUAAUGACACACUACAUGCUUUUGUUUUUAUUUUUAUUUUUCAGAGGACACUCUGACCCAACACUCAGCCUUACAGGAAGCCCUGCUUCCCUGUGGCUCACACACAGACAUGAUGUAGGUUUGAUCAGAGGAUGUGAACCAGUGGUCAUCACACCUAAAUCUGACCACAGACCAUGUAAACAACAACACCCUCUGAAAGAAGCCAUAGAUGGCGUUACUGCAGACACCACUAAGCUACUGAAUCAUUGGAUGCUACAGGCCACAAAGAGAGCCUGUCUAAAUUACAGUUUGUUCAGACUAAGGUUAUUUUCUGGGUCAUUGUAAUUACAGCUGAUGGCAAAUCCAUCUCACCCAACAGAGUUAAAGCAAUUUGAAACCUGCCUAAACCCUGCACGUAUAAACAGCUGAUGUCUUUUCUAGGUUUUUGUUCUUAUUGUAGGAACUUCAUUCCUAAUUUUACUGUCUUUGAGGCCCCACUCAGGGUUCUGAUGCAGACGUCUUCAUCGUCCACUUCUUGUCUCACGUGGACGUCUGAGGCUGAACAACGUUCACCGACCUCAUGCUUGCUCUUCAGUCGACUCCUACUUUGGGUCUUCCUGAUCUGACCCUACGCGACCUUUCACUCAAACAGUGGAUGAGAAAUCAGGUUGUACGACUUCUGUUCUUUUGUCCUCAUACUUUGAUUCUUUUGGAAUAGAUCACAUCUUUCUACAGCCUGAUGGCUUAGAUGCGACACCACCUUGCUCAACAUGCUGAACGUUACUAUCAAGAGGUCGUCUUGAAGUCUAGUGCUUUGCUAAGACACUACUCUGCUCAGGCUGCAGAGUUGAUCGUAUUGACUGAAGCUAGUAAACUAGCAGAAGGAGAGUCUGUUACCAUCUACAGACUCCACAGACGCUCUGUGGAAGCAUAGGAAGCUUUUGAAGUCUGAUUGCAAACCUAUCUCACAUCAUGAUUAGGUUCUGCUUUGCUGGACGCUGUCCUGCUACAGUACCUACAGCUAAUGCUGUUUGUAACCGUCCGACUCACAUCAUCAGUGACGAUUUUGUUUGUGCCGACAUGCAGCUGCAGACGCUGCUGCGAAGGUCGCUGCCCAACAACCCCUCCCUCUCCUGAUCCUUGUUCCCUCUCUAACUCUCUCUAUCCUUUCCUUCCUCAUCUCCCUGUGCUUUAAACAUUUUCUACCUCACAGGAACGCAGACUCUGGCUGACGCAUGGUUCCACCUGUAGCCAUGGAGUCUGGUUUGGGCCUGACGGCAGCCGUGCCGCCCAAACACCUUUUCCCCAUAAUUCAGAUUUCCCAACAGGUGAAAGCAGUCGACAGAACCAUUACACCAUCCAACCAGGGCACUGGGCGAUCGUUAAGGAGUUCAGGAGGAAGCGCUGGGACUCCAAACGGUGGCGAGGCCCCUUCCAGGUCCUUCUGACGACCCACACGGCUGUAAAGAUCGCAGAGAGAGUGACUUGGAUCCACUCCAUCCAGGAAGGUCCCGGAUCCGACAGACGACCCUCCAUCUACAUCCCACAGAGAAAACCACCACUAAAGAAAAGAAUUAAGAAGGACGACCCUCGCUGUGCUCACACACGCACUGAGGCGAGGCUGCGUUGACCGUUCAGCUAAAGGUGUGAGCCAAGCGCCGCCUGAAGCUGCACUAUCAGACCAUACAUCUACACACACGCUCCUGAGAAAACACACACACGAGCAGCCUUGAGUUGCCGACGCUGGACGACGUGUAGACUCUUCACAUCACAGGAGUGACAGUGACUCAGACGACAUUGGGAGGAAACCUGGCGGUGAUAACGAAUCCCAAGUGUGUCUGUGAUCAGCUGAUCACAACCUGAAGAACCCCAACGAACUGGCAAUACAUCAACACACAGGUUGGAAACAAUCUAACACUACUGUUCAACAGGAAGAACCAGAUUGUUACAGACAUCAAUUGUAACCAUGCUUUGUUAAACUUCAUUUUAUGUUACAUAUAUUAUUGCCUUUAUCAUAUGAUGUUUCUAUGUAACUUUACACACUACUUUUGAAUGAGAAAAUUCACAACAACAACAACACUGAGUUUAAAUAUCCUGAAGUUGACUUGGUGUUUAAUUUGCUCACAAUCACUUAUUCACUGCUACAAAAAUUUUUAUCCUUCAUCUACAGAUGAAAGACAACACAAGCGGCAAUAUGCAUCAUCAUUCUGGUUAAAUCCCUGAAUCUCCUAUUCGCUCUAGACGCAAAUGUACAAUUAAAGAUUAGAAAGCAUGAAAUCUAUCUUAAGAUUAUAUGAUACAGAACCCCAUCGGAAACCUAUGGCUAUCAUACAUUAAUUGUCUUUAUUACAUUACAAUCGAAUGGCCGUAGACAUGUUGUUAGCAGAGACAAGAGGCCUUUGUGUUAUGUUUGGAAACGCAUGUUGUACUUACAUCCUGAAUAACACUGAUUCUAAUGGUAUUGUGGCGAAGGCGCUCCACGGCCUUCAGAAUCUCAGCUAACUCUGGUAUAGAUUCUUCCUCUUGGAAUUGGCUAGACGAAAUGUCUGGAAAAUGGAAAUCUGUUCUCAUGUCCGCAGCUGUUUCCUUUAUCAUUGAGAUGGCUGUGAUUCUCUUGUUUGGUUUUUGCGUUAUCCCACUGGUUAAAGGUCUCAUCAUGCGUGCGACCUCAGCAACACUCUCGUAUCAAAUGACACAAUGCACUAUGUUCAAAAACCCCAACUCUAAUUCACUUAAUGACUUUGACGAUGGUAUGGGCUCAUUUUCUUCACAUGCCGAUACAGAGGUUAUUCUUGUAUAACUACCCACCAAAACAGCUCCCAACCUUUUGUCCCUAAGUUACUUGCAUUUUAUAUGGAGGUGUAUUUUGAAUCUUGAUGAGUUAAUACCCUUAUUGUUUCAUUUGCAUGGAUUACAGAAUGUGAUGUUGACAAUUUUUAUUCUUUUAGUGGUUGAUUAAUGUGUAAUCAAAAGGGGGGAGUGUUAUGGGAAAAAUUGUCUCUUCCUUAUUUCUAUGUGUCUUCCGUUCUUCUAUGCAGUUAUUAUAUGAUUUAUGACUUAUGUUCUGCAAUUAAUAUCUUAUGUUUUGUCUUACUGUAUGCAUUUGACAUUUCACCUAGAUUGUUCAAUGGUUGUCUCUGCCUGAUAGACUCUCAACUCUAGCUCUAAACCCAAGGUCGGGGAGUUGUGUCUCUGUCUGUUGAGACUUGGUGCUCCUUUCUCACAGAUAGUUGGACGUCAGCGAUGCAGGUGUGAGAAAGUAAAAAUCUUCACACACACUGCGACAGGGAGGAGAUGGUGCAUGUAAUUUGAUUGGGUUAGAAAGACAUUCCACCCUAGUCGGACAGAGAAGCUAAAAGGCAGAAGCAACUUGAGGAUCGUGGGCUCUUUGCAUCACACCUUCGUGGUGUGUGCACUGAUCUCCCCAGCUGGUUUUUGGUUUGUUGAUGUGCACGAUCAACAUCCAUGCUUUUUAUUUGCUUUCCCCAUUAUUUUUAUUUUCUUUAUUAUUUCAAUAAAUCGCACAAAAGGACAA